UGGGGAAUAUUGGGCAAUGGGCGAAAGCCUGACCCAGCGACGCCGCGUGGGCGAUGAAGGCCUUCGGGUUGUAAAGCCCUGUCAUGCGGAAAGAACGACCCUGUGCCGCAUACUCACAGGGAGUGACGGUACCGCAGGAGGAAGCACCGGCUAACUCCGUGCCAGCAGCCGCGGUAAUACGGAGGGUGCAAGCGUUGUUCGGAAUGAUUGGGCGUAAAGGGCGCGUAGGCGGUAAUGCAAGUCAGAUGUGAAAUACUCCGGCUCAACUGGGGAACUGCAUCUGAAACUGCAGAACUAGAGUACAGAAGAGGGGAACGGAAUUCCCGGUGUAGAGGUGAAAUUCGUAGAUAUCGGGAGGAACACCAGUGGCGAAGGCGGUUUCCUGGUCUGAUACUGACGCUGAGGCGCGAAAGUGUGGGGAGCAAACA
rnacentral:rRNA from 1 species